rnacentral:rRNA from 1 species
AUUGAACGCUGGCGGCCGGCUUAACACAUGCAAGUCGAGCGUGCGGCGGACGGGUGAGUAAUGUCUGGGAAACUGCCUGAUGGAUGGGGAUAACUACUGGAAACGGUAGCUAAUACCGCAUACCAUCAGAUGUGCCCAGUUUGGAUUGGCUAGUAGGUGGGGUAAUGGCUCACCUAGGCGCCUAUCCCUAGCUGGUCUGCGAGGAUGACCAGCGGCACUGGACCUGCGACACGGUCGAGACUCCUACGGGGGGCAGCAGUGGGGAAUGUUACACAAUGGGCGCAAGCUUGAUGCAGCCAUGCGUCGUGUGUGAAGAAGGCCUUCGGGUUGUAGAGCACUUUCAGCGAGGAGGCGUUACUCGCAGAAGAAGCGCAGGCGAACUCCGUGCCAGCAGCCGCGGUAAUUC